GGAAUUACGCUCCUGUUUUAGCUUGAAUGGCAUUCAAGAGGUCGAGGGUUCGAUCCCCUUCGUCUCCACCA
rnacentral:tRNA from 1 species